rnacentral:rRNA from 1 species
UGGGGAAUAUUGGACAAUGGGCGCAAGCCUGAUCCAGCCAUGCCGCGUGAGUGACGAAGGUCUUCGGAUUGUAAAGCUCUUUUGGCGGGGACGAUAAUGACGGUACCCGCAGAAUAAGCCCCGGCUAACUUCGUGCCAGCAGCCGCGGUAAUACGAAGGGGGCUAGCGUUGUUCGGAAUUACUGGGCGUAAAGCGCACGUAGGCGGACUGAUAAGUCAGGGGUGAAAUCCCGGGGCUCAACCUCGGAACUGCCUUUGAUACUGUUAGUCUCGAGUCCGGAAGAGGUGAGUGGAAUUCCUAGUGUAGAGGUGAAAUUCGUAGAUAUUAGGAAGAACACCAGUGGCGAAGGCGGCCACCUGGUUGGAUACUGACGCUGAGACGCGAAAGCGUGGGGAGCAAACAGGAUUAGAUACCCCGGUAGUCCCUGAGCGGGCUGGCAAGGCGCAU